ACUGCCUGAGGAAUUUGGAUCCUCUUGUGGGCCUUUCACACCUUAAAGAACUUUAUGUCGAGAGGAACCAGUUAGCUGACCUACCAGACCUACUCUUUCAAAACAGUAACUUAACUCAGUUCAAAGCAAAUGGUAACCCUCUUAGAAAGCCUCCUCAGGAGGUGUGUGCAGGGGGAUUGAAAGAUAUCCAGAACUACUUUGCAAUGCUUGAGGCCAACGCCCCAAAUCAGAAAACUGUGAAGACUAUGUUUCUGGGGACCUCCAUGGCAGGGAAGUCCACUCUGUGCCGCAGUCUGAAACAGGGUUGCCCUGUACCGGUGCACGAGGAUGACCGUACGGUAGGGAUCGAAAUCAGUGAAGUUGAUAAUGAGGGUAUCCGUUUUAUCUUUUGGGACUUUGCUGGGCAAGAGGAAUACUACAUCACCCAUCAUGUGUUUAUAACAGCUCAAGCCUUUGUCAUACUUGCCAUCGACAUUUCCAGUUACAACAUGGAUGCCCAGAGUUUCGAGGAGAAUGUGGGAUUCUGGAUAAAAAAUCUUCAGCUUAAGAUACCAGACUCAGUAGUUCUGCUUGUGGGCACUCAUGUUGACCAAUGCACAGAUGAGAAUGAUGUGGGAAAAAAGAAAAAACACAUCGAAGAGCAAGUAAAGGAAAUGCUUGAAACUCAUACAACUAAUUUAGAGCAGCAUAAGAAGAACCUCCAGGAUAAGGAGGACUCAUCUUCGUACUAUGACCAGAUAAAUCAGAUUGAAAGACUGACUGAGUACAAACUAAAGGUAAUUUGGCUUUGUAGUUGCUGUUUUAUAAUCUAAUAGAACUGAAUAAAAUGUGCAGCCACGAUCUUCUUUUUCUCCUU
ensembl:lncRNA